UACGUAGGGGGGCUAGCGUUGUCCGGAAUCAUUGGGCGUAAAGCGCGCGUAGGCGGCCCGGUAAGUCCGCUGUGAAAGUCCAGGGCUCAACCCUGGAAAGCCGGUGGAUACUGCCGGGCUAGAGUCCGGAAGAGGCGAGUGGAAUUCCUGGUGUAGCGGUGGAAUGCGCAGAUAUCAGGAGGAACACCAAUGGCGAAGGCAGCUCGCUGGGACGGUACUGACGCUGAGGCGCGAAAGCGUGGGGAGCGAACAGG
rnacentral:rRNA from 1 species